CGGACGGGUGAGUAACGCGUAGGAAUCUACCCAGUAGUGGGGGACAACAUGGUGAAAACCAUGCUAAUACCGCAUACGCCCUAUGGGGGAAAGCGGGGGACCUUCGGGCCUCGCGCUAUUGGAUGAGCCUGCGUCGGAUUAGCUUGUUGGUGAGGUAAAGGCUCACCAAGGCGACGAUCCGUAGCUGGUCUGAGAGGAUGAUCAGCCACACUGGAACUGAGACACGGUCCAG
rnacentral:rRNA from 1 species